GCAAAAUCAAAAGAAAAGAAAAAAAAAUGUUAAGCCCAUACAACAAAAACAGUGGAAUUACUAAAAUAACUAAUAUGCCUUCCUUUUAAAUUAUGCUAACCCUCUAGUGAAUAUAUUGUCACAGUAUAGCGUUUCAGCUUAUCCUUUGACUCAACACACUUGCUCACAGUAUAGAUUAUGCCGCGCAGAUAGAACAGUACCUGUAAAUACACAGAGUAUGUGGCGAAAGUCUCCCAGUUCACUGAAAUGUUAGGUUUCUGAAAGGAUACAGUGCCAUAUAAAACACCAGCUUGAUAACACUUGAUUUGGGUGCAUUUACUUGAAAAUCUAAAGAACUGUGUUAAAAAUUUUUUUGUACAUAUUUCUGAGUUGUCUGAAGUUCAGCUGGAGCUUUUUUCCUUGUCAUGUUAAGAAUAAUAAAGAUAACAAGACACAUUGUUAAGAUA
rnacentral:lncRNA from 1 species